rnacentral:misc_RNA from 1 species
GUGAAUCAUCGAAUUUUUGAACGCAAAUUGCACUCUCUUCGGAGAGUAUGCCUGUUUGAGGGUCAGCCUAAAAAAAAUCUACAUAGUCGCUGUUGCGCGGUGACAUGCUGCGGAAAUUGGGUCAUCUUAAACCCUUGGGGUUUUUAAUCGGCUUAGAAUUUUCUUUACGAUUCUACGAACGUUUCUAAGAUUUUACUGCUUACACAAGUUUAAUGUAUCGAUCUUUGUUAGACGUG